rnacentral:lncRNA from 10 species
GCUGGGACUACAGGUGUGCACCACCACAUCCAGCUGAUUUUUGUAUUUUUUUUUUAGUAGAGACGGGGUUUCACCAUGUUGGUCAGGAUGGUCUCAAUCUCUUGACCUUGUGAUCUGCCUACCUCAGCCUCCCAAAGUGCUGGGAUUACAGGCGUGAGCCACCAUGCCUGGCCCCCUCUUUUCUUAUUCAUUUUAUCACCAGUGCAUAAUUCUUACUGACAUUAGAUUUUAAAAAAGAAUUAUGCUGUAAAUCUUUAUAAAUUGUAUAUAUAUUUCUUAAAUAUUGCAAUUGUCUAAACGUUGUAUAUUUUAAGGCUGUUUUCUCUUGCUCUCAAUGUUGAGGAAAACUAUAAAUUGACCUAUAAUGCAUCUACUGCUAAUGGUUUUGGUUAGUUUGAUAUUCAUUGUUUUUAAACAGUUUCCAAUAUGGAAAUUUUAACACCUUUUAUACAGUUCUCUACUAUUCAAGAUAAAGAUUCUUUAAAAUAUCUCACCAGAAACUUAUAAUUUUAUACUUUGUAAUAUUUAGUUUCUAUAAUUUGAGGAAGGGACUUUUUCAUUUGGAUUAAGUAAAAAGCCUUUAUUUGAUUGCCAGCAUGAGAAUUCACCUUGGUUUCUAUUUUAUGCAUUUGUAAAUUUUUUCCCUAAUUACAUGGAAGCUAUUGGAACUUUUGUAUUCAAUGCUAAAUACUAAGUCAAAGGGAGUAUAAUAGGUAAGUUUUUUCAGUUACUGUGUC